ACGUAGGGGGCGAGCGUUGUCCGGAAUUACUGGGCGUAAAGCGCACGUAGGCGGGCUGUCAAGUCGGCCGUGAAAGGCACUGGCUCAACCGGUGUUUGACGGUCGAUACUGGCGGUCUGGAGUAUGGGAGAGGGAACUGGAAUUUCCGGUGUAGCGGUGGAAUGCGUAGAUAUCGGGAGGGACACCAGUGGCAGAGGCGGGUUCCUGGCCCAUUACGGGCGCUGAGGUAAGAAAGCGGGGGGAGGGGACGG
rnacentral:rRNA from 1 species